rnacentral:rRNA from 1 species
UACGUAGGAUGCAAGCGUUAAUCGGAAUUACUGUGCGUAAAGCGUGCGCAGGCGCUUAUGUAAGACAGGCGUGAAAUCCCCGGGCUUAUCCUGUCAAUUGCGCUUGUGACUGCUUAGCUAGAGUAUGUCAGAGGGGGCUAAAAUUCCUUGUGUAUCAGUGAAAUGCGUAGAGAUGUGGAGGAAUACCAAUGGCGAAGGCAGCCCCCUGGGAUAAUACUGACGCUCAUGCACGAAAGCGUGGGGAGCAAACAGGAUUAGAUACCCUGGUAGUCCACGCCCUAAACGAUGCUGACUAGUUGUUCGGGAAUUUAUUCCUGAGUAACGUAGCUAACGCGUGAAGUCAGCCGCCUGGGGAGUACGGUCGCAAGAUUAAAACUCAAAGGAAUUGACGGGGACCCGCACAAGCGGUGGAUGAUGUGGAUUAAUUCGAUGCAACGCGAAAAACCUUACCUACCCUUGACAUGCCACUAACGAAGUAGAGAUACAUUAGGUGCCCGUAAGGGAAAGUGGACACAGGUGCUGCAUGGCUGUCGUCAGCUCGUGUCGUGAGAUGUUGGGUUAAGUCCCGCAACGAGCGCAACCCUUGUCUCUAGUUGCUACGCAAGAGCACUCUAGAGAGACUGCCGGUGACAAACCGGAGGAAGGUGGGGAUGACGUCAAGUCCUCAUGGCCCUUAUGGGUAGGGCUUCACACGUCAUACAAUGGCUGGUACAAAGGGUUGCCAACCCGCGAGGGGGAGCUAAUCCCAUAAAACCAGUCGUAGUCCGGAUCGCAGUCUGCAACUCGAUUGCGUGAAGUCGGAAUCGCUAGUAAUCGUGGAUCAGAAUGUCACGGUGAAUACGUUCCCGGGUCU